UCUCUUUUCCAAGUGAGGCCCCGCCCCGCCUCCCCAGGGCUGCUUUUCUCGCGGCACGGGUGGUGGGGCUGCUUCUUGACUUCCGCGCCUAGUGCGCAGGGCCCCAUUCUCCAGUCCCGCCCACGCGCCUUUGGAGGCUGCGGUGGGAUUUCCUUUUGCCUUCGGUUGGGGCUGCUGUUUCUCUUCGCCGACGGUAGGCAUUAUAAAUAUUUCGCCCUUUGAAUUUUAGCUCUCCCCUCCCGGCGUUCGCACUUAGCCUUUUUCAUCAUUAUCAUUAUUUUUAAUGGUAAGGAUGGUCAAAUUUUACUAAUGAAGCGAUUAUAAAAUCUUCAAGUCUUUGUA
ensembl:lncRNA GBA1LP glucosylceramidase beta 1 like, pseudogene